rnacentral:pre_miRNA from 1 species
AGCCUUCUGUAUGCGUGCUGAGAUUUCGUCACACACCAGACCACAAGGGCUGAUGAGACUUCAUACGAUAGAAAUAAUU